GACGGAGGAUGCAAGUGUUAUCCGGAAUCACUGGGCGUAAAGCGUCUGUAGGUUGUUUAAAAAGUCUGCAGUUAAAGGUUGAAGCUUAACUUCAAAAAUGCCGUAGAAACUUUUAAACUAGAGGAUGGUAGGGGUAGAGGGAAUUUCCAGUGGAGCGGUGAAAUGCGUAGAUAUUGGAAAGACCACCAAUGGCGAAGGCACUCUACUGGGCCAUUACUGACACUGAGAGACGAAAGCUAGGGGAGCAAAUGGG
rnacentral:rRNA from 1 species